UCCGUAGGGUGACCUGCGGAGGGAUCAUUACUGAGUGAGGGCUACGGUCCGACCUCCAACCCUUUGUGAACCAAACUUGUUGCUUCGGGGGCGACCCUGCCGCUUCGGCGGUGCGGCGCCCCCGGAGGCCAUUAAACACUGCAUCAUUGCGUCGGAGUAAAAGUAAAUUAAACAAAACUUUCAACAACGGAUCUCUUGGUUCCAGCAUCGAUGAAGAACGCAGCGAAAUGCGAUAAGUAAUGUGAAUUGCAGAAUUCAGUGAAUCAUCGAAUCUUUGAACGCACAUUGCGCCCUCUGGUAUUCCGGGGGGCAUGCCUGUUCGAGCGUCAUUUCACCACUCAAGCCUGGCUUGGUAUUGGGCGUCGCGGCUCCGCGCGCCUUAAAGUCUUCCGGCUGAGCUGUCCGUCUCUAAGCGUUGUGGCAACUAUUCGCUUCGGAGGUCGGGUGGCCGCGGCCGUUAAAUCUUUCACAAGGUUGACCUCGGAUCAGGUAGGGAUACCCGCUGAACUUAAGCAUAUCAAUAAGCGGAGGA
rnacentral:rRNA from 1 species